GGUGUUGGUGCUACCCCACGCCGGGGCUCGGAGCCAGCAAAGGGAGGGAGUGGACAAAGCAAACAGCUCAUUCCAGGCCCCAGCAAGGACCCCGGCUCGUUUCACUGUGAUAUACACUAAGACUCAACUCACACCCAGGGUCUGAAAUCUCUUUAUUUCCCUCUCUGCACACUUGGAAUGAGACGGGCCCAGCCCCGACCUGGCAGAGUCUUUUACUGACCUUGUUGAUGUGUCAGCGGCGAUGGCAGUCGGCUUGCUUCAGAGGGACCAUCAAAACAAAACAAUUCAGUGCAAUUAAUUCCUUCUCCCAGGGGAAGGGCUGGAUGAGGUUAAGUGAUUUGCCCCAGGAUCCUUCAGCAGAGCAGGUAGAAACCAGGCAGCAUCGGGAGUUUCACAUCUCUGCUAUCUCCCAGGGCCGUUCCAUGUCCACCCACAGCGACCAGCAUCGUCCCUCCAGGCUCAGUCUCUCUGUCCUGGUGUCCAGCCCUGUUGUGCUCCCCCUGAACAUCACCCCAAGCCCAUUCUGAGCACAGCCCCACAGACCUCAGCAGUUUGUUCUUCUGGAGUUUAAGAUGGUCUAAAUGGAGCUACACCAAGGACUCUGUAGCGCUGGGGUGUGUGGCCAGGAGAUAUGGCCAGUGCCAGACCCUCACAGAAUCUUCUAGGUUGGAAGGGACCUUAAAGAUCAUCUUGUCCAACUGUCAACCUAACUGACAAAAAUAGACACCCACACAACAAACAAGGAGCAUCAUCACUAAACCAGACCUCCCAGCACUACAUCAACCCUCGUGUGUGAGGAAGGAUUUUCCACCUCCCCCUGGCUUCCCCGAGCACUGACCUGUUCCCAGCGCCACACCAUGCAGGGGGGAGGCAGGUCCCUGCGCCAGCCCCAGCUGGAGAUGUGUCCCCAUCCCUCCUCUCCUGCCCCAGGUAAGGACAGCGGGAUUACUGGAGCCCAGCAAAGGGCUGGUGGGGGCUAUAAAUCACAGCCCAAGCUUGCGGUGACAGGGACAGCGCCACGUGUGGGAUGAAGGCUCACAGGGAGCACCAGACGUGGUCACCAACAGGACACAAGAAAGAAAAGGAAACGUGGUCGGGACAAGAAGCCAAGAUCUCGCAGUUCCACCAAGGGCUUAGAAAUAAUCUUCUUGAUAAAUUUAUUUGGAUUGCAGCAGCGCGUACGCUGCGGGCAGCUCUCUAAACACGGGGACAGAAACUCCUCCACCUUCUCUAAACCUCGCAGCCUGCGGCGGCACAGCGGUGCCAGGGGAAUGACGUCCCAACACCCCGAUGUGCCCACAGCGGGAGGGAGAACUGAGCAUAAACCUCCUGAGUCACGGCUUGGGAGCUCGCAGGAGCGGCCGCGGUCCUCCUGGCAGCCACAUUUGCCCUGCAGACGGGGAGAACAACAAUCCUGCGGGGCAGAACCAGAGCCAAGGUUUCCCAAAUCUUCCCAUUCCGGAGCCGGUUAUCUGCGGCACACGCUCUACCUGCUCAGGCUGAAAUUCUGGUAUUUCUGAACACAGGGUAUUUGAUUUUGCAAUUUUAAUAAUCGCCUCUUCAGCCCAGUGGUUUUUCUGUGUAACAAUCACUAGAAAACACUCUUCAGCCUCCUACUAAGUUACGAUAAAAGCUAUUUAGAGACAAAA